GCCCUGGCCAGCGCUGGGAUGGGUGUGCGGAACCCAAGGCUCCUCUAGACUUUGACUGUUAUGGCUGUUCAGCUACAGACAUGCCUGACUCUAGGAAGGAAGGGACCCUGUGAAGAAGCUCUUCCUGGCUUCUGGGGGCUUCAGUGCAGGAUUUACUAAAGCCCUCUGGGAACUUCCAGCUGCAUCAGCUGCGAAUGUGUGGGAUCCUGAAAGUUGUGUGGAGUUGGGGAGAACUUCUCCACUGAAAGAGGCCCCUCCACCCCACUCUCUUCCUGCUUGUGCAUACGCUGGCUUCUUUCCCAGCAGGACCUGAAAAUGCCCAGCUUAGGAAAGACUUUGCGAAGUAAAUGACAGGUUCUACGUGCAUUUGAAAAUGUGUCCCCUUGUGUGGGAGACAUCAGCUUGCGGAUGACACUAAUAUCUACGGAGGCUUGAUGCUGCCAGGGUGUCUGAGUCUCUGAGGGCACAGAUAGCCCUGGGAUUGAGUGAUUCCUUCUUGGCCCUCCUGGGACUCAGAGACUCAGGCACCUAUUAGUCAGCCACAGGCCCAGAAACAAAAGCCCAGCAGUGACUGACAAGAAUGCAAAUAGUGCAGUGGCUUUUCUUCAACAUGUGGACACGGCCUGGGCUUGAAUCUUUGCCCUGCCACUAAUUAGCUCUGUGACCUGGGCACAUGUGACUUAACCUCUCUGGGCCCCAGUUUUGUCAUCUGUAAAAUGAAGGUGAUGGUGAGUUUUUGUGAGAAUUAAGCGAGAUAAUGAAUUCAUGGGACUUAGCACAGGUCAUAUGUGGUGCUCAGUAAAUGUUCCAUUUAAAAAUAAAAAAUAGAAACAAGCCCACAAGUACCCCUGAGUGUCACUUCUUGCAGUUGCUGCUUGCCAUCAUGUGGGCUGGUGCGACAACUUCAGGAAUGGGCUCUUUGUCCUCUCCUGGGACCCCUCCAGGCUCCUGCAGCCAUCCUGGCCUCCCCUCACCUGUCCUCUUUCAGAACAGAGCUUGCCCCGCUGAGUGAGCCCCUCCUGCAUUGUCCCCUGGCUGGGCCGUGUCUUCCUGACACUAGGACUCCAGUCUCCCCUCAGGUUGCUUGACUAGGCCCCAGCCCCCUCCACCCCAGGCCCAGCUUCAGCUCUGGGGAC